rnacentral:lncRNA from 1 species
UUGCAGACAUCCGGAGCUCUUUUGAGAUAAUGGAGAGGAAACCCUGCAGAUACAGUGACAGAAAUGGCAAUUACUAUAACACCAGGGCUUAGAUGUCUACAUCAAUCACAUCAUGCUCAGGCAUCGAGAACCACGGACUUUGAAAAGCUGCCCCAGAGGAGGGAGCCUCUGAGUGAAAAGGUCAGCAGCAGCACCCCGGACGGGAUGGCAACCUUCAGACUUCGUCCCAAGGGCCAUGGUAGAAAUUCAUUUCUACAUGAUGCUCGGGCAGCUUCUCUGUUCAUGGUGAAUUUACCUUGGACUCCUCUGUUUUCUCUGCGAGCACUGGUAAAGUUGGAGCUGGGGACAGCUCCUUGGUGCUCCAAGAGGAUCCCGUAGCAGCUGUAUGGACUCUGCUCCUCCAGGCUCCGUUUCAG